rnacentral:lncRNA from 1 species
AAUAGUUCAUUAAUAAGUAGCAAUAGACCGCAAUAAAAGCGAGAAAACAUCUAUUUGGUUGCGUGGCACUAGUCAUAUCGGGCAGUAUCUAACAAAAUUAACGCCAGUCUCUUUGAAUUCUUCGUAGAGUAUCUUAGCCGUAUUAUCAGUAUGCGCUGGCGCAUCUCAGUUGAUAAUCUCAUAGUUAUUGUUUCUGACCAGUGAGAAAUUAUAGAAAACGCUUUACAACUCAUGCAUUUCUGUAUUUUCUAUAUAUUAUUUUGAAUAAA